AUAGACUUUUAUCACUAUAACUUUCGUUCCUAUAGAUGUGAACCAUAUCUAAAUAUUCUUUUUUUCGUGUAUUAGAUUCCGUUUCAAGAAUUUUUGAAUCUUUAUAAUUGAAUUUAUGUUUUUUUUUUUGAUAUUUCACGGUUCGUUAAUGCAGUUCUAUUUUAUUUAUCGUACUGAUGACCUCUCAGUCUAUUUUCUAAAUACUGAGAUGUUUGCCCUAUAUAGACAACGUCAUAAUUAGUAGAAGACACUUGACAUAUGACAUUACUUCUUUUAUUUUUUGUUGUUUUAGAUUUUAAUUUAGUGAAAUAUUUGCAUAAUUUAUUAUGUCCUCUAUGACUUAUACUUAUAUCAUAUUUAUUGAAAUAAUUCGAUAAUUGUUGGGAAAGUCCUCGUACAUAUGAUCAAAAAUAAAUUGCGAGGUCAACAGUUUUCUACCUCUGAAGAAGCGGUCGAUGCGGAAAAUCACAUGUUUUGGAUGUACUUGAAUCGGAAUGGAAAAAUGGUUCGACAAUUGCUUCAAAUGCAUCCAAAAAUGUAUUGAUCUCAAUGGAGAAUAUUUUGAUAAACAAUAAAGUUGUAUCUAAUUAUAAA